CCGCCCUCUUCUGCCGCAGGAGCGCAGCGGCAGCCCCGCCGGGUUCCUGCUCCAUCGCCCCGGGCGGGGGCCGACGGCUCGGGCACACUCGGGUGGGCUCGGGCCUCGGCGGUGUUCGGCCGGACGCUCAGCUAGCGCGCCGCAGCCCACGCCCCGCCCCGCACCCCUCACCGGACCCAAGCCCCGCCUCUGUCCCGCCCCAAACUCCAGCCCAGCCUGGGACCUCAGGCCCCGCCCCGAACUCCAGCCUAACCACGCCCUCAGACUAUUCGCGGGGUCCAAGCCCCGCCCCUACUCUAAUCAGGUCCCUUGAACACGCCUGAGGCUUUAGGCCCCGCCCCUACUCUAACGGCCUAACCACGCCUCUGGCUUUAGGCCUCACCUCUGCCCCGCCCCCAUUCUAGCAGACCAGUGCAGGCCCCACCCUGCCUCUACACCAGCUCCAGCCACGCCCCUCCUGAACUGGCCUCACCAAGAUCUUCUACCCGCGCUCCCUCCGUUCUUCUGUGUAGCGCACGCAGGCUCCCAAUGCCCACUGGAUCCUCAACUUCGUCGGGUCCACGGCCCAUCACUCCCGCUCCUUACCAUUCCCACAGAUCUAGGCCCUUCCCACCUACCCCUCCAGCACAGAGCGCUCUAUCGGCCCGCCGCUCCACAGCUCCGAUUGCUGGAUUCUCUGCUGACCCUCCUCACCUCAGCACCUCUUGGUCCUUUCUAUCGUAGCACCGCCUUCUUUUGGGGGCCGCCUUUCUCCACAUCCCGCCCACAGGCAUGGCCCCCAACCCCGGAGCUCCGCCUCUUUUCUCUUGAAGCUGAGGAGUGCCUGGAUGGUGCGGGUCUUCCUGCCUGAACUGGGGUCCACCAUGAGGUUUGCGCUACCUCAGGAUCUAACCAGUCAGCAAAAGGAGGCUACAGCCCAUCAUCUGGGAAGUCAGAGCAGGAGCUCAAUGUCCCAAGCAGAAACUGAGGUCUGUACUUGGAGCAAUUCUGCGUCUCUUGUCCCUUGGCUAUUCAGCCCCAAGAGCCCUUUAGCUUCCCCUGCCCUACACAAGCCCCGCCCACGUUGCCUCUUCCUCACUUCAGGGGUGCCUGGAUGAUGCGGGUCUUCCUGGCUGAAGCGGAGUCCACAACGAGGUACAACAGUUUGGAGCUGGAAGGGUGAGGAACUCAAGAACUGAAUCAGCACUUAACAGAUUUUCCUCUGGCUUGCUCACCUUCUUUUCUUAUCUAGCCAAGUACCACCUGCCCGGGAUACUACCACCUACAGUGGGCUUAGAUCCUUCACAGCACCCCACCACCACUACCAAAAGCCCUCACAGACCUGUCUACAGGCUAAUCUGAUGGAGGAAGCUGCUCAAUUGAGAGUUCCUCUUCCCAGGUAAAGUGUAGGUGUGUGCUAAUUUGUGCAGCAGGGCUCUUUCACUGCGAUCACAAGGUUCUGGUCUCAUUCAAGCAGAGACAGGAGCAAGAAUGGGUGUGUAUGCCUGGGAGCUGCCACUGAGAUCCCCAAUCUACUCUAGUUCCUGCGCUCCUGCUCGCUGGCGCUUGCUCUCUCUCUGCCUCCCUCCCUCCCUUACUCCCUCCCUCGCUUUCUCCCUCUCUCCUUUACCUCUAAUCAAACUGGAGUGGGUUUGCUUUAUGCAUCAUGACUUCCUCCUGACAGAUCUUUUCAGAUUAUCACCUUGACUGGAACUCUCCCUCAGUAAUCUCGGGUUGCCUGCUUUUCCCCAUGUGCAUCCUGUCCUCUCUGUCUCCCUGACCCCCCUCCCCCCACUCCUACAGCCUCCUUAAUGUUCUGCGACUUCUGAUCUGAAAACUCUCAAGGCCCCCUGUCUUCUUAGGUAUCCCCAGACCCUCUGCCUUCCUCUCCAAGAGAUCCACAAUAUUGUCCCUGUUCUUUCCCUAUAUAUUUACAUCCUAGUUACUCUCAGCAGAGCCCUGGGCUCCUCCAGGCAUGUAGCACAGCAGCUGCCUGUCAAAUUGACUGCAUGUGACACUAAUAAAUAGAACGAUAUUCAUUGGAAAACACAUUUAAUUUCAAAGUAAACAAAGAUGUCUGUACAUUAAAGUAUUUAAUUAGUGAAACAAUUAUUAUCAGUGUAACAAGCUGAAAAAUACAGCAACUUGAUACAAGACUGAGGUAACAAAAUACUUCACCAAAAAUCUAAAGACUCCCAAGGAGGGAUGAUGUUCAGUGGUUAUUGCAGAUGAGACAAUUUACAAAUGUUAGAGAAAAGUCCUCACACAACUGCAUGCAGGGUCUGCUGGGAAAAAAAGACAGCUUAAGGGGGGGGGUGCAGCAGAUUGAACAAGAAACAAAGUAAGAUGUGAAAACUCAUUUUCAGUUUACUUGGAAGAACAUGUAAGAAAUUGAAAACUACUCUUUAUACAACAUUUUGAAUGCUAAGUGGGAAACCAUGCAUUUUGGCACAAAAUUUAUUAAAGAGUAUGCCUCACUAAUAAAUGAAUUACUAUUAUUUCAUUACUGAAUGGUCAAAGUCCUUCCAAAAUGGCAGAUGACCUAUCACCUUGCUGCGGUGAGUGGCAAUUUGGGGCUGUCCAUGGGACACACACUUGUGCAGCAGCAGCAGCUUACAAGAUGGACCAAAGUCCAAGUCCUCGGCUCCCAGGGACACGCAGCUCCCACUCAUACUGUAUAUGAAUUAACACUGAAGUUACAGAGUAAACGGGGUGGGGGGCUGUGCGUACGGCAAGCACUCAGACCCUACUCUCUCAUCCUGCCUUUGGCGUCUUCCCUGGAACCAUUCUUGAACACAGAUCAGAAUCUGGCUGCUUAGAGCCAGCCAGCCUCCCAUGUCGGGACUCCAGCAAGUCCUCAAUGCAACUUACUCUCCCAACAUUUCCAUUCAAUCUGGUCUUCCUGGAAGAACCAAUGCACACGAUUGUAUUCAGGAGUAGGGGAGAGAUAGGGUCUUGCCAAAGUUGGCUUGUGAGGUGGUAAUUAUUUGGUCAUUGACUGGUUAAGUUCUACAAAGGCCAAAAUUGGAUUUGUCUUGUUUCUAGCCUUUUUCAGUCUGGGUAGAGCCUGGGGUAUAAGAAGUAUUCACUUGACAUAUGAAUGUUUAUGCAAUAAAUACACUUUCAAAAGGGCUUUGUGCAGGGUGGGUUUUUUGUUUGUUUUAUAACAUGAAAUCACCCAACAUAUCAAUAUGACACAGGGACAGUUUAAGGGUCACACAGAAGAGAAGCUGUGCUUUUGGCAAUAUUCAAUAGAGGUUGCAAAGCUCUGGAUGCCACGUGCAGAUUAAAGCAGCCUUGGCUUAUAAAUGGCUUCCCAGUUUUACAGAUCAUUUUCCAUCUGAAAAUUGAUAUUAAAAAAUAAACAAAACAAACAAAAAACCACCACACCUUUCUUAGGCUCGAGAGGCAAGAGUAAACUGAUGGAAGAAACACUGGCCAUCUUGGUAAGGAGGAGAAAUACAGAGAGCCUGUUGGCGAGCCACGGAUGUGUCUACCUGCUCAGCAUCAAGUGCCCCAAGGCAUUCAGCCAGGGCAGGGGAAGGCCGGACUCUCCUGCUGGCUUGUGUAGGAGUGUUUCCCACCAAGUCCAGCAUCCACAAGGUAUCUUGCUUGCCAGCGGACACUUGGCUGACCUUGUAUUGCAAAACUUGUACACUGGAAAGGGGACAGAGGUUUACUCUUAUUGUGAGUGAGAAGGCUUUUCUUGGGACUUCCUAAUUCUACCAGCUGCCCAUCCCAGUUUCUAAACAGCAUUCUACAGCUCUCAGUUUGGGGUGCCAUGGUCUGUCUCCAACAGUUUCACAGUAUUUGUGUACGAUGGACAGUGGAGCAAAAGUGCAGAACAGCUUCCUUCAAGGCUAAGAGUCCACCAAAGGACCACUGACUCUGUCAUGUGACCUGGCCACCUCCCCUUGCAGCCUUGUGUGACAAGCUGUGCCGAGGAUAUCAGCACUGAGCUUGUAUGCUUGGCCUAAGGCCCUGCUUGGAGAGACAAAUAUCUUUUAACUCCAUAGACAGGGCUUUCCCACUACCUUCAAGGCUCACAAAAGUCCUACAAGGCUUUUCACUAAUAAAGUUCAAGCAGUUGUCUUCAAGAGUUCAUGGUAAGGAUGCUUGUGGGAGGGGAGUUUGGCUUCAUUUAGGAAGAUUAAACACUUUGAAAAUAAUUGUGAUUGUGCUCUUUCAGAUUAGGCCUGGAAGAAAACACUGUGUCUCAUAAGACAAAUCUGUAAAGGGCAGGAAGUUAUUUGAGUGGGAUGAAGUUCUGGGGUUUUGAUGUCUUGACACUGCACAUGCAAGAAUCCAAACAAUGAGCCCAAAAGCAGACACCUAAAGGAAACUAGCAGCUGAUGGUCUGGCUUUCUAGGAGUUAACAGGCAGGCAGGCAGGCAGGUUUGGAGUUGGAAUAGAUUAAAGUGGACCACGAAUGGUUCUGCUUGGAGGUGCCUCAAGUGUCUGACACCGUCAUCCAUCUUCUGGAUUCUAACUGGAGCAACGUUGAUAGAAUCCAGUGCAUACAGCUAGUGCACACAGCUGGACCACUGGUGGGGGUGGAUGUGCAAGGCAGCUGUGGUCAAGGUUUGAUGGCAUCAACUUUACCAUGUGGAGUUUCUCUUGGCAUGAAAAUAUCCAGGCUCUGCCCACAGGAAGGCUAGCUUCAGAGUACAACAAACGUACGGCCAUGACAACAACUAAUCACCCCAUCAAGUCAUCCAUGUUUUAGAGACAUGUCACCAUUUGUUUGUAAUACAGUGCUUUCUGGUGGUAAGUUCAUGGUUAUGGUGUUGUCUGCAGCUUCUCCAUUAUUGUUGGGAUGGUUUCAUGAUUGGGUUACUGUGUAAAACCAUGAUACCCACAGGGACCCAGACAUUCAGCCUUUUCCAGAAAACUGAGGGUUUUCUUCUCAGGGUUAGGGUACCCAGAUUCAAGGAGGAAGAGGAAGAGGAAGAAGGACAGAGAGCAUCAGUGAUGACAAAGGGCAAUACACUUGAAUUAAAAUGUGCAAAGUAAAAAUCACCUUAUUUAUGACAACAGGUGACAGAUAGGUCCUUGUUCAUGAAUGCAGAGGCUGGACAUCUCACUCCCUAGGGUUUGGCUCUCUUCUCACCUGGUCAUCAAGAACUGGGCCCUUGGACUUGGAUGAGAACUUGCUGGUGACUGCAUUUAGGGGCAAGACUGAGGGGGCUUAGGCCCCCUUGUCACUCAGCUCCCUGUG
rnacentral:lncRNA from 1 species